CGCUUGGUGGUCUUAUGCUAAGUAAAUUCUGCUCGGUGAAAAUGAUUUAACAGCAGCGGUAUCUUGACCGUUCAAAGGUAGCAUAAUAAGUUUAGUAAUUGUAAACCUGUCAAUGGGACCAUGGGUUUAUUUAAAUAAGAGCUUAAUUAUUAUUGAAAUUAACUAAAAAGUAAAAAUUCUUUUUCUUUUUUAAAAGACGAUAAGACCCUAGAACUUUUUAAAAAAUUUAGGUGGGGAAUCUUUGAUUAUUUAACAAUCAACAGUAAAAGUACUCUAGGGAUAACAGCUUCAUUUUAAAGAGCCUUUAAAGUUUGAGACCUCGAUGUUGAAUUAAGGACAUUGGUUUUUCAAAAGAAAGCUAAUUUAGGUCUGUUCGACCUUAGCCCCU
rnacentral:rRNA from 1 species